GAAAUGCGAUAAGUAAUGUGAAUUGCAGAAUUCAGUGAAUCAUCGAAUCUUUGAACGCAUCUUGCGCUCCUUGGUAUUCCUUGGAGCAUGCCUGUUUGAGUAUCAUGAAAUCUUCAAAGUAAAUCUUUUGUUAACUCAAUUGGUUUCUACUUUGGUAUUGGAGGUCUUUGCAGCUUCACACCUGCUCCUCUUUGUUCAUUAGCUGGAUCUCAGUGUUAUGCUUGGUUCCACUCGGCGUGAUAAGUUAUCUAUCGCUGAGGACACUGUAAAAGGUGGCCAAGGUAAAUGCAGAUGAACCGCUUCUAAUAGUCCAUUGACUUGGACAAUACUUUUAUGAUCUGAUCUCAAAUCAGGUAGGACUACCCGCUGAACUUAAGC
rnacentral:misc_RNA from 1 species